UGGAAUCCUAGAGAGAUUUGGGAGUGCUCGAAAGAGAGCCAGAACACAGGUGCUGCAUGGUCGUCGUCAGCUCGUGUCGUGAGAUGUUGGGUUAAGUCCCGCAACGAGCGCAACCCUUGUCAUUAGUUGCUACGUAAGGGCACUCUAAUGAGACUGCCGGUGACAAACCGGAGUAAGGUGGGGAUGACGUCAGGUCAUCAUGGCCCUUAUGGGUAGGGCUACACACGUCAUACAAUGGACGGUACAGAGGGCUGCCAACCCGCGAGGGGGAGCCAAUCCCAGAAAACCGUUCGUAGUCCGGAUCGCAGUCUGCAACUCGACUGCGUGAAGUCGGAAUCGCUAGUAAUCGCGGAUCAGCUUGCGGCGGUGAAUACGUUCCCGGGUCUUGUACACACCGCCCGUCACACCAUGGGAGCGGGUUCUGCCAGAAGUAGUUAGCCUAUACGCAAGGAGGGCGAUUACCACGGCAGGGUUCGUGACUGGGGUGAAGU
rnacentral:rRNA from 1 species